UACAGAGGUCCCAAGCGUUGUUCGGAUUCAUUGGGCGUAAAGGGUGCGUAGGCGGCGCGGUAAGUCGGGUGUGAAAUCUCGGAGCUUAACUCCGAAACUGCAUUCGAUACUGCCGUGCUUGAGGACUGGAGAGGAGACUGGAAUUUACGGUGUAAGCGGUGAAAUGCGUAGAUAAUCGUAAGGAAGACCAGUGGCGAAGGCGGGUCUCUGGACAGUUCCUGACGCUGAGGCACGAAGGCCAGGGGAGGCAAACGGG
rnacentral:rRNA from 1 species